rnacentral:lncRNA from 1 species
CUCAUGUCUUCCAUGCAGCUUUGGUUCUGUGAUGGUGCAGAGCUAGGCUGGUAGCAGAAAGUCUGGGGAUCUCCAGAACACUUGAGUUCGCUGCUAGCAUGAAUGUUGCCAAAAAGAUUACCUAAAUCAUUCCCUUUGCACCUUUGGUUCAUUCCCUACAUAAGUCCUGUGCAACAUGGCCCACACCCACAAACAGUGACCACCGUAGCCCAAAAGAUGAUCUAAAGAGCUUCUCCCCAUGACUCACCUUGAUGGAUGUCAAGGACAAGGACUGAAGCUCUGCUGGGACAGCGCUGGGAAAGUCCAGAGAAGCUUUGAAGCCAAUGACCUAAAGUUUAAUGGAACUGUAAUAUUCAAUGAAGCUCAAAGAAUUAUACAGGAAAUGUAACAUGAACAUGGAGCAUUAGUGGAGAAAAUCGUACUCUUCUAACAAUAUGUACUAACUUUAAACCAAAAAAGGAUCCACAUUAUACUGUUUGACAUUAAAUUCUUGGAUCAGAUCCCUACCUGUUGUAAUCUAAUAGAAUUCCAAAGUAUAAUGAGCAACUUCUUAUUGAUGGGGAUAUUAAGAGAAAUAAGAUCGUGGCACUGCAGGAUGUUAUUGUCAAGUGUCUUAUUGUGGAGGUCAGCAACACAUGAAUACAGCUGGAGAAGAGGAAAAACUUACAAAAGAGAGAAAAGAGAAAAUUAUUUUUGUAUGCCUGUGAGAUUGAGCUUCAGUUGGUAG